AGAUAUUGAUUACUUGCUAAACAUUGAUGCGCAUCAAGCUGUAACUGCGCUAUACUCUCUCUAGAAGACCGACCUUUGCGAAAACCAAACUGAUUAUUAGGCAAAAGACAAUUUUGUUCUAUAAAGAACUCGAGACGUUGUUUUAGAAGCUGCUCAAAUAUCUUCCCAACACAAGACGUGAGAGCUAUAGGUCUAUAAGAGUCAGCAUUUAAAACUGCUUCUGUACACCUCUGAUUCCACCAAGGCGACCAAGGAUAUUUAAAAGAUUUUUGUGAACAAGAACUAGUAGCAUUAUUACUAUUAGAACUUUUGGAAAACAGACAGCUAGGGAUUGACUGCUUGGCAGCAGAAAGUAAAAUAUUACAAAAGGAAUUAAAAGCAUCUAUUGAAGAUAAAGUGUCAAAUUUAACAUCAUCCAAAUAAGAAACAACUAAGUUACUAUACAUAUUCCAAUUCACCUGCUUAUAAUUAGGGUGAGUGGGCAAAUGUAGAUUAUUACAUAAUGUGUUUUGCAAACUAAUACAUUCACUACUUACUGCCAUUUUUAUUAUUACAGGGAGAUGAUAACUACUGCCCAGAGGACUGUCAAUAACUGACCAGUCACAUAAAAGAGCCAAAGAUGGAGUUACCAAAGUCAAGUCAAGAGCAUUAGGACGCCAAGAUGGAGAUCCUAUUGUGGUAGCUUGACCAUUAUUCAGAAUAACAAGACCAUUCUCAUCUAUAACCUCUAAAACAUCUUUACCUCGAGGCAAUGUAUCAACACAUCCCCACAACAUGUGAUGAGCAUUGAAAUCACCUGCAAAUAUCAUUGGCUCUGCAAUGGACUUAAUUAAACUGUUUAAAUUGUUUUUAUUAAAUGGAGGAUUUGAAUUGGAAGGACUGUAAAAACUCACAAUACUCAGUUCUUUGUUAUUAAUUUUAAUUUUAAUGCAAACAUUUUGUAGAGCACUAUCAUAAUAUGUAUUUAUGUUAGAAAAUGUGAUAUUAUUAUGAAUAAAAAUUGCUACACCAUUGUGUUUAUUACCACAA